rnacentral:tRNA from 1 species
GCCUGGGUGGCUCAGUCGGUUAAGCGUCUGACUUCAGCUCAGGUCAUGAUCUCACAGUUUGUGAGUUCAAGCCCCGCAUCAGGCU